rnacentral:lncRNA from 1 species
UAAUGUUGUAAGAGUCGAUAUGAAGAUCAAAUUCUUUACUCUUGGAUUGAAUGAUUGGAUUAAUAUGAAUUUAAAUUUGAAGCUUAAUUUGAAGGGUUGUGUGGAUAUUGGUCUUCUCUAUUGGCUAUUAAUUAGUUGUCAUCUUUUAUAGAAACGGAGAAAUAGGGGCACAUGAUGAUCAUUUUAUGCGCCUUGUUGAACAUUGGUUGGAAGCAUGUUACAUGGUUCAACAUUAUAUGGAAGCACAAGGUAACACAAAUAAUAAGCUCACAAUUGAGUAAAGCUCAUACAUUUAUAUAUUGUUUAGAAGGAACCCACUAAUGAAUGGGUAGUUUCGAAUACCGAUGGUGCUAGUAAGGGUACCUUAGUGGCCGGUUGUGGUAGUCUCAUUCGAGAUAAAAGCAUUUAGGGUUGUGUACUACGUAUGUGGUGGAACUUUGAGGUGUUCUGUAAGGUUUGAAUCUCGCUUGGGACUGUGGGUAUAGGAAGGUUGAGCUUCAUGUAGAUUCCAAAAUUGUUGUUCAUGCUCUAAAUAUUAAAAACAUGGGUACUGUGGCUUGUUGGAGGUUAAUUCAA